UGCGCAUAAAGCAGCAGGUCAAAAGCAGGUCAGACGUGUUUUCAGCUCUGCUCAGAGACUUUCUACACCAAGGGGCUUUAACUGAACCGUUCCUGAGCUGAUCCCUGCAAUCUCUUCAAGACCUCUAAGGGCCAGUUAUGCCCACCGCUGCUUGGCCACGGCCCCACCGCCGUGACACCUAUCAGAUAUGCUGAGGUCCUGACCCUGCCGUGUUUGGAUUCCCAGGCCAGGAGUCCAGACUGCAGUGCACAUAUCGAAUCAACGCUCCGAACAGGAAUGCAGCUGCAGCCCUUUGACUCUGACAAUGGACCACAACCUGAACCUCAUCUCAACUAGAACUCUGUGAAACACAAUACCAAGCCUAACUGACUCCAUCAUGCAUUCAAACCCUUAAGGAAGGUUUGCAGCUUUUCUCUGGAAAUAAAAACAACUUCUAUAUGU